rnacentral:snRNA from 1 species
GUGCUCGCUUGGGCAGCGCAUAUACUAAAAUUCGAGCCAUACGGAGAGGAUUGGCAUGGCUCCAGUGCAAGGAUGAUAUGAAAAUUCGUGAAGCAUUAUAUGCUACU